rnacentral:rRNA from 1 species
GACGAACGCUGGCGGCGUGCUUAACACAUGCAAGUCGAACGGAAAGGCCCUGCUUGCAGGGUACUCGAGUGGCGAACGGGUGAGUAACAUGUGGGUGAUCUGCCCUGCACUUCGGGAUAAGCCUGGUAAACUGGGUCUAAUACCGGAUAGGAGCCAUUUUUAGUGUGAUGGUUGGAAAGUUUUUUCGGUGUAGGAUGAGCUCGCGGCCUAUCAGCUUGUUGGUGGGGUAAUGGCCUACCAAGGCGGCGACGGGUAGCCGGCCUGAGAGGGUGGACGGCCACAUUGGGACGGAGAGACGGCCCAGACUCCUACGGGAGGCGGCAGUGGGGAAUAUUGCACAAUGGGCGCAAGCCUGAUGCAGCGACGCCGCGUGGGGGAUGACGGCCUUCGGGUUGUAAACUCCUUUCGCUAGGGACGAAGCUUUUUGUGACGGUACCUAGAUAAGAAGCACCGGCUAACUACGUG